rnacentral:rRNA from 1 species
AUGCCUGUAAACACUGGUCAGAAAAUCAGAAAAGUAGGAGAAUGUUGCAGAUGUGGAGACAAAUGGCAGCAUGGUCACAAAUGUAAAUUGAUUCCUAAUAUACAUUUGAUGCAACAAGAAGAACCAGAUCAAAUUGUAAUUGAUAGUGAGGAAGUUGAGCAACAGGAACAGCCAGAAAAUACAGAGGAAGGAGAACAGGCAAUGUUCAUCUCUACACAUGCAUUGGGUCAUCAGCUAGCCGUACCAACUCCUACAGUUAUAAUCCACAUUAAUGGAAAAAGAGCAGUGGCCUUACUAGAUUCUGGCAGUACUUCCUCCUUUAUUAACCAAGAUUUUGCUAUUAAGGCCAAUUGUCAGAUGUUACCUGUCAAAUAA